UACGUAGGGUGCAAGUGUUGUCCGGAAUUAUUGGGCGUAAAGAGCUCGUAGGCGGUCUGUCGCGUCUGCUGUGAAAACUCAGGGCUUAACCCUGAGCUUGCAGUGGGUACGGGCAGACUAGAGUGUGGUAGGGGAGACUGGAAUCCUGGUGUAGCGGUGAAAUGCGCAGAUAUCAGGAGGAACACCGAUGGCGAAGGCAGGUCUCUGGGCCAUAAACUGACGCUGGAGAAGCGAAAGCAUGGGGAGCGAACAGG
rnacentral:rRNA from 1 species